rnacentral:tRNA from 1 species
GCGAGGGUGGCGGAACGGCAGACGCGCUAGCCUCAGGAGCUAGUGAGGGCAACUUCAUAGGGGUUCAAAUCCCCUCCCUCGCACUA